rnacentral:rRNA from 1 species
CAACAGUGUAUGCUAAAGUUGUUGCGGUUGAAAAGCUCGUAGUUGGAUUUUGGGCAGGCGCAACCGGUCCGUCGCAGGGCGUGUCACUGGUUGCGUUCGCCUCAACUUCGGUUCUCCGUCGGUGCUCUUGACUGAGUGUCGGCGGUGGCCGAUAAGUUUACUUUGAAAAAUUAGAGUGUUCAAAGCAGGCAGCUCGCCUGAAUAAUGGUGCAUGGAAUAAUAGAAAAGGACCUCGGUUCUAUUUUGUUGGUUUUCGGAACUUGAGGUAAUGAUUAAGAGGGACAGACGGGGGCAUUCGUAUUACGGUGUUAGAGGUGAAAUUCUUGGAUCGCCGUAAGACGAACUACUGCGAAAGCAUUUGUCCAAGAAUGUUUUCUAUUAAUCAAGAACGAAAGUACAGAGGUUCGAAGAUGAUCAGAUACCAU